AGCUCCGGGGGAGGAGCCUCCCCGCACAGCUUGGAGCUGCCCCGCGGCUGGAGGUUUAAGGACCGUACUGUGUAAGGCUUGGCUGAGGAAACUGACCAGGUUGGCACACGGAGUUCCAGCACAGUUCCUUUGGAGAAAUAUUUACAUAAAUUAGACGAACAUAGAGGAAUUAUUUGCUUUACAUUGUAAAACACCAGAGCUGAAUGUUUCCUUUUAAUUAAACAUAACACUCGAGCAUCCAUUUCCUGGACAGCUGGUCACUCCACUCCUUCAACAACGCAGCGGACGCAGAUCCGUGGCGCGGCUGUCAGAACUGAACUCAGUUAGCAGGGAGCUCAGAGGGGUUCCUGUUCCCUUUGCUACAUGUGUAAGAAGCAAAGGGAGGGAUUUAGAAAGCACAGGACAGAGAUUUGGUUUCCUGUUCUUUCAGCCACUGGCCCUGGUGUCCUCUUUUUUUUUUUUUUUUUUUUAAUUGUCUGUGUGAUUUUAGUGUGUAUCCCUGUGUUUUUGCUUUCUUGAGUUCUUUUGGUUACAAGUGACCGAAAGCCAGCUUAAACUGGCUGUCAAAUAGGGGCCUUUAUUGACUGAUGCCACUGGUUGGUCACAGUUUCCCUCCUUCUCCCUCCCUCCCUGUUCCUGUUGAUCUAGACCAGCAUGGCAUAGUGCCCGCUUAACCCUGCUGCCACACAUUGAUCCCUUACUGAUCCGAAGGGAUCUGGUGCACAGGGAGAGAGGCAGCCCCUCACUCUUGCCCCAGAAGACCGGGGCCACAGAGGAGAACGGGAGGUGGACGUCGGCAGCAAAAACAGGAGAUCUCUCUGGGAGACGGGGAAGUGGCUCCCCCCGGAAAGUUCCCAUGGCCUGGGCGGGCCACUCCCCCUUCUGCAACAACCCAAGGCUCUUUCCUGGGCCUGCCUACCCACAGUCACCCUGUUUCUGUCCAAGGAGCACACUCAGCAUGGUGAUAGACUCAAGCCAGCUGGCUUCCUGGCAGCCUCAGGCCUGUCCAUGUGGCAAGAGGCUGGACAUCUGCAACAGAAACCCACAGUGGGAAGAGGGGCGUCAGGACACCUGAGUGGAAGUGGACCUACAUCCUGCCUGCAGCUCAGGGCACUGUGACCGAUGGCUGGCACAAACAGGACUACUUUGGGAGUGGGGCGGGAACAGGAAAGAGACAGUCAGGACCUGUCUUCACGUCCAGCCUACAAGGACUUGUUCCUUUCAACUCUCUAGUGGGUGAUCCUAGCCUGAGUCCAUAUUUCAGCGGUAUUCCCUGAAGCCUUUUUGACCCAGGCAGCAGCUCCUUUAAUAGUAAGAACACCAACGGCCAGAGUUCAAGUUCCUGAGUGGGUAGGCACACUGUAAACUGGGCAUCCACAGAUCAGCCAAGACACUGGCUCCACGUGUGGAGUUAGGAGGCCACACUUUCCCUGACUCCUUUCAUCCAAAGCCCAUUACAAACCUCAUCUUACACCUUUUCCCAUGACAUUGGUGGCCGAGGACUCUGCUUAGGUCCUAAAGGUUCGGCAGCCUGACAGCUAGGAAACUGGCCCGUGUGUGGGCUUGCACCCACUUCCGUCCACCAGGGGUGGAGGAAACCAUUGUCCAGGUGGAACCAUUGUCAUUGGCUCUUCCUGCAUCUUCCCAGGAGGAAUAGUGAGAAGUGCCACCCAGGGUGGCGACUGCCAGCCAACAUACCCUCCCAGACCUGCCGCCUGCCUCUGCUCUUCUUGUACUGUGCUGAGGUGGGAAUGGGGCUCACUAGUCCAAGUUCUGGGAUGGAUGGGAGCAGGUUUCAGUGAAUGGGCAGCUCUGGGAGAGUCUCUGGAAGCACAGACAGACAGACCAGUGUCCGUAUGCUGCUGGCUUUCCUCUCUUGGGACUGUCGGUCCUCCCUGAGUAGCGAUCUGCAGCCCUCCAGCCAUAAUCCACGUGUCCACUCCCCUGAGCACUAGCCUUUCAUUCUCUGCAUGGGUAAUGCUGAGCCCAGGGUCCAAGGCGGAAUAACCUCUGAUCCACAGUACUGCAGGUCACUGGUUCAGGGUGGGCAGCAGUAGAGACGGGCUGGGGGUGGGGAGCGCCCGUGUGUAUGUCUCCACAAGCUUAUUUUUAGUUGCGUUAUAUAAGUGGCUUCAUCUCGGCGUCAUGUAGGAAGGGGGGGGUCUCAGAUUUAAUUACAGGAUGACAGCCUUUGCAUUUCAAGCAAGCUGUUCUCCUGGCAAGGCAGGCACACGGAUUGGGAGUCUAUGCUCAGCAGAAGCUGCCCUUCGGGAAGUGACCCCCAGCAGACUGUCACCCUAUCUUCACCCCAUCCUCAGCCACUUUGCUGAGCUCGGCUUAAGAGGGUAGCCAUUAUCUAAGGUCUUCAAGUUGGUGGGAGACCUGUGCCUGUUAAGGGAAAGCUCUCAACCACCGACCCUACCCCCACCCCACCCGGCAGCUUUUCUUCUCUCCAGGGGAAGGCUUCUGUUUUCAUUCCCGGACUCAAGCUUUUGUAAUAGGUAACCAGAAAGUUCUAGUAGGAGGGACAGAAAGGCACAGGAGCUUCUGGGGCUUCAGGAAAAGCCUGCCUUUUUUCCCUCCGCACCCUGGUCGGCCAUGUUGACUGCUUGGCAAGUGCCUGGACCAGGCCAGAGGGCAGAAGCAUUCUUGGGGAGGCGGGGGAGCACAUUGCUCUGGUUUCAGGACACUCUGAAUGGCUAGCCAGCUCAGUGGCUAGAACUUUAUCAGCAAGAAUGUGCUGGGAGCUCCAGGUGGGAGUCUCAUCCCUACCAGCAGGAAGUCUAUUUCAGCUGCCAUCAGCCACUUGGGUUUCCUCUGGCCUUCAAGGCAUAGCCUGCCACAGUGAAGGGGGACAGGUUGAGACCUGACCUUGGCAGGCCCAGGGUGCAGUGUGAGGAGAAGGCCUGGGUGUAAGGAGGCCAGUCUAGUAACCAGUCAGUUUGCAGGGGCAGGGCAGACACUAUGUGGCUCUGGGCAGGUCCCCUAGCCUCCCUGAGCCCCCAGAGCAGAGAUUAGGGUGCUGAGCAGUGUUGGGAGGGGUUGGGGAAUGCAGAGCCAUGUGGAGGACCCAGCACAUUUUAGAGGCUGGCACUGCCCUGAACAGAGCACCUUCCUCCUCAGUUUUCCCUCCCAAGCCUAGCAGAGACAGUACGGUAGACCCCUGACCAGUGCUCCACAUGCUGCCCUGUCCCCCAUCAUGACUGAAGGCAGAGAGACUGCAGCCCAGGGGAGCCUGAGGAGACAGGAAGACUGAACGUCUCUUGGAGUCCUGCUGGGCCCUGGACAGGAAGAGGACACUGGAAUCUGGAGAAUUCUGAAUGAACUGUGGGCUUUAGUUAAUGAUACGUCAGCACUGGCUCCUGAAUUGUAGUAAAUGCAUCCCACUAAGACAACACACUAACAACAGUAGCUGGGGGUGGACACAGGGGCAGACUUAGGAUGUCUGAGGCCCUGGGCUUGGUCCCUCGUACCACUCCAAGGCAGGAAAAAAGAGAAGGAUGUGGAGUAUCUUUGCUCUGAAUGAGGAAAUGUAGAGCAAAGGACCUUGCGGGGCCCUGGGCUACAGGUCAGAGGGUGCUGGGAGCUGGCUCUGGAUAGGGCCCAUCUUGCCUUGCUAGCUAGAGCUGAAAUCUAUGGAGCAGUUCAGCUCUCUUGCUCUCCCCGAUGUUGGUGCUUCCUCCUUCCUCCCAGACUGCACCUCAGCUUUACUCUUAACCUGACUGAUUCAGAGCUUGCUUCUCCUUAGCCGCCACGUGGGUCCUGCUUCCUGCUGUAGGAGGCAGACCGGCCUGCACACCUGGCUGGAAAGAAGGGACCAGGCAGGGCACUCGCCUGGUGGAUGGAGGUGUGAGCAUGAUCUUUUGGUUUUCCAGAAUGUUACCUGACCCUGCCUCGGUCCCUCAGACUGUGACCUCCCACAGAGCCUCCCCCGCAGGCAGGCCCAGGAAGGCAGAGCCUUUCUGCCAAGGGUAGAGAUGUGGGAAAUGUGCCCUCCCGUCCUGCCCUGUCGCCCUGGUAUGGGGGUAGCUUCCCCAGCAACCAUCCCCCUUAUGUAAUCUGCACAUCACAUCGGCAUGACUCCAGGUGCCUGUGGGAGGUAGCGCGGGGGUGAGUGCAGGGGCGCAAACAAGCCUCGAAGUUUCCUUGGGUGCUUCUCCUCUUGUUACAUUUCAGCGUCAUUCUGCGUCUGCCAGCUCGGUCACCCACUUGCCUAUUAGAAUACAUUAACUGACAAUGCAGGACUUAAAUAACUUGGGCAGGUGACAGGCUGCAGUGGAGCCCUCUGCACCGAACCCUGCUGCAGCUGGCCAAGUGAGCUCAGAGGUUGGUGGGGAGGGCAGAGGAAGGGUGCAGCCUGCAGUCCAAGCAUACCCAAGACCAGGCUUAAGAGUGCUGGGAUACGGGUGCCCCUGGCAGCAUGGAAAGCACACCCCAUGUCAGGCACACCCCUUCCUCCUGUACAUACCCAGCCGGUGGUAGGGUUGUGCCAUCGGUGGGUGAAUAAGAAAACUGAGAAAGUGAUAUACCUGUCAUCAGAGCAAGACCACUCUGAAAACAGCUCUAGCAGCAGCAGCAGCAGCCUAGCACAGGCAGACCUGGAUGUGCCCACCUGUUCCAUAGGCCAGAGUGGUCCCUUAUCUUCCCUGGGGAAAGAUGAAAGCCAAACCUUGCUUCCUGCUCAUUGUACUGAUUCGCUUAUCCCCAAACAAAACAUCCCCUUUGUUUUUCUUAUUGCUCUGCCUCUUAAAUUAAGUUGCCUUGAACAGGUCUAAAGGUGUUUUCAGGUUGUGACAGAGGAAAUUGUUUUCCAGACCCUGAAGUCAAAAGACACCCAACCCCGAGCCCGGUGUAUCCCUCCAGGUCCUUCCCCACUGCGCUGCCGCCGCCGUCCCCAGCUGGUCCUGCCAGAGUGAGAAGCCCAGACAUGUACAUGCUGCUUCUCAUGCUCACAGAUGGCUUCCCUGCCCAGGGCUGGCUGCUGCUAAUUUCGGCUGCUGGAGGCUCCGUGUGCACUCUCUCUCUUUUUAAUUCCAUGUUUAUUUAAAGCUAGAUUUUGAAGUCUUGUCUUCAACUCUGAAAUCUGAAAUUUUCUUGCAGCAGAGCUUACCCCCCACACACACCCCACCCUCCACACACAGAGGACACAGAGUGUAGGGAGGCUUGAUGAACAACUGGCCAGGGCCCCUCACAGCAACCCUGUUGCGUCAGCACAGAGCUCAGGAGAUCCCUUGAACAUGCUUGGUGUUUCCAUGUAAACAGGGGGAAGCCGUGUGGAGUGUCUGAUCAGAGGGCAGAGGCUCCCCUGCUGCCUGGUGCUGCAGGAGGAGCGGACUGGGCCAGUGGUGACUCAUCUUACCCACAGCCCUGCAGCAGAGCCUGGGGUGGCCCAGGUAUCUAGGACCAGUGCCAAUCCCCCAGUUGUCUCUCGGGCUUUCAGAGCUCCCCUUACCCAUGAUAGCCACCUACAGGCUCUUCCUGCCUUCUGGAAAAUCAAGUCCACCUAGAAGGGAUCUUCCUGGUUAGGGUUCAGUAGAGGAUGUGUGUUCAGCUUGCUGCUAUGUUGACACAACACUGUCCUGCUCUCAGGCAGACAGUGCCCGUGUCUUAUCUACCCAGUGUCAUGAUACACACAGUGGAACUGCCCUGACUCUGGGACCUAGAAGACUAAACCCUGGCAUGGCUCAUGCUUUAGAGACACAAGAGCUGCACCCAUUGCAUGACCCAUCUGCCCUUCAACAGCAACCCUGGAAUGUGCUAGAAGGGCUUUGGUGAAAAAGGAACACUCUUGAGGGAACUGGUCAAGGGCUGAGGCAGCACCAGCUCCAGGAGGAAGGUGUGCACCUAGGGAAGCCACAGGGAGGUCUAAGACAUUGGCCAAGUUCCCGUACCCACCUCUGCCUCUUCUCCACCAGGCCAAGAGAGGAAAGGGUGCUGCUUCCACCCAGAGCCAUCUGCAGACCCUGCCAGGGAGUUUCUAACAGGACCGUGUGAAGGGCUGGGGUGGUGUUCCUGGCACAUCUGGUCAGAAGGACUGUGAGACACUACUAGAGUGUGAAGCUUGGGAAUGUCCUGUCUCCAGCAGGCUCGUUUCUUCUCUCGGGGUUGGAGACAGAUCUCUAAGAGGAUUGUAGAAAACUGACUGUCGCCUGUCCACAUGAAAGGAAUACUCUGUCCCUGCCAGGAAACUAUGGCUCUAAAAGGAUAUGUGUGACAUUUCACCCCCUGUCCAACCAAAGGUCGGCUGUACGACCUUUCCAAAUGUCACUCUGCAGCCACUGCUGGCAGAGACAUGGAGCUGCCAAAGCGCCCUGGACUCUGCUAACUCCCACCCUAAGCUGGAGGGGUUUUUCUGCAGGAGCCAACAAAAGCCUUUGUGCACAGCUUGAGGAGUUGGCUUUCGGAGCCUUGGAGCUGGUAUCGGUGGACUUGGUGGUGGUUCCCUGCCUGCCUGGACUCCCAGAGUUCCCAAGGAGAAAACCCUAUAUUCUAGAUUCCAGAGGCUUAAGCAGGACAAAGGCUCAGAGCUCUAGAACCCUGAGAUUGAACUGUGUUUACACACACACACACACACACACACACACACACACACACACACACUGAGCACUGUGUCCACUGUUGCUGUUGACACUGAGAGCAGAUGGAGCAGAGCCUGUGAGUGACUCCUGGGCACCCAGCUUGGCUGAUUUUACCUAGGACCUCAUCCCUUUGGGUUUUACAAUAGACUGAAGCUUCAGGGAUCCUUGCUGAGGACUCCCUGAAUGUCUUUAUCCUUCUGAAGGUUCCCUUCACUGCCCCCUGGUGGAACGUCAAAGAAAGGAGCCUUGGCAUGGAGCAGGUGAGAGUGUCUGGCAGAAGUUGAGGGCAUCACAGGAGGCUACAGGCCCACAGGUGGGUGGCUAGCAGGUGCAAUGCAAAGGUUUUGGGAUUUAUGAGACCAGGCUACACCUAGGAGGUGAGUGACCCGGGCGGUCACAGACUCUUGGCUUGCCCUGUCUCCAGAGGGAUCACUAAACCCUCCCUUCAGGCUGAGGAGAAAGAGGAAGCAUACAGCUGCUGCCCCGGCCUGUAGAGGGGACAUGGGAGCAGCCUGUGCACUUAUGAAUCCCGUGCUUCUGGGAAAUACUGUUCAUGCUCUUUUCUCAGGACCCAGUGACAUCUUAAAUUAGAGGGGUAAAUCACCUAACACUAAUAAACCUCUUAAGGUGUUCAAUUCUGUGCAUUUGAGUGACAGGCAGGGUGUUUAUAGCCUGUAUCCACCACCAUCUGUCUAUCAAGUUCAAAAUCAUUUUUCUUCUUUUCCCUUGGGGGUUUUGUUUUUGCUGGUUUGGGUUUUGGUCGGUUGUUUGUCCCUUUGUUUUUGAGAUAGGGUCUCAUGUAGUUGAACUUCCUGAUGCCCUGUUGCCGCCUCCCAGGCUCCAGGAGUGAGUGCUGGGAUCCAAGAUGGAGCGCACUUAGGCAGUGCGGGCCGAGCCUGGCAUGCUGAGCAGCAUAGACAAGCGCUCUCCUAGCUGAGCCACAUCCUCAGCCCAAAACUGAUCGCUGUGGUAACUGUACUUAACAUGCAAGGAGCAGGCUGCCAUCUUACACUCUCUUCAGGGAUCCAUGAGGCUGCCAGGUUCCCUCUAUCCUCAUCAACACACCUUAUUGUUGUUUUAGACCAUAACCACCCUGGUGUGCAGGAGUGGAGCCAUUAAUUUCCUUACAACUUCCCUGGUGGCUGAUGAGAGGCCUGUCAGCCUCUCCUUCCCCGGGUCUCUUUUGUUGUUGAUGAUUUUACCCCAUUGAGAACUUCAUACAUGAGCAUGCAUCUGUGUGACUCCUAGUGACACCCCCAACUCCACCCAUCCCCCUCCAUUCAUGAUCUCUUUAAUUACUGUCACAUGUAUAUUUAACGUGUGUAUAUACAUAUAUGCACACACAUAGAAAUAACACUGAGUCCAUUUAGCUUUGAUUCUAUGUGCAUAUGUCCAGGGCUGACCACUCGGGACUGGACAAGAGUCUUCUCUUUUUAAACAGGAGCCGCAGCCUUCACUCUAGCGCUUCGUGUGGGAGGGAGCUUGCAGGUGCCUCGGGACAACCAGCUUGCACCUGAGCUCAGCUCAAAACCCCAGCCCCUGAUGAAGCGUGACAGAUGCCCACUGACAUAGCCAUAUGAUUUAGGUGAGGGAAAAGUCCCCACCUGCUCCUUACAGACACUUGGGAGAGCUCAGGUUAGCAUGGACAGGGCUGAGAGGCAGCAGCCAGGGAGCCAGGUCAUUCCCUGCCAGGUGACAGCACCCCAGAACUGAGGAAUGGAGUAGCUGAGCCUUACUCACAGGGUGCUGGAAGGGGAAGAGUGGCCCUGGACGGGGUGGGUCCCCCCAGGCACCAGCCCGAGGAUGGAGUAGUAGAUAGCCUCUUCCCAAUAGGCAGCAGCUGUGCCUGCUGCACCUGGCAGGCUGGAGCCAUGGCGGCUUCAGCAGGAGUGGGCAUCAGGGAGAGGCCCAGAAAGAAGAGCUGCAGCCUCUAGUCCCAGCAUGAGGACCAGCAGUUUCAUCAGAAGCAGAGCGCAGUCCCAGUGUCCCCCUCACACCAGAGCCACUACUAACGUGGGGCUGCUGCUGUCACCACACCCUGCCCACAACCCUCCCACCUCAUUGUUCCUAUAAGCAAGGGAGCUUUGACUGGGUUGCCUCCAGGGGACUCUGCCGACUCCCACAUUAGUGGAGGUCAGAGGACAACUUGCCUGAGUUGAUUCUCUCCUAGCAUUGGGUCUCAAGCAUUGAACUAAGGCCUCAAGCCUAAUAGCAAGUACCUCCACCGCUUACCUAUCUCACUGGCCUAGUGGAAGGACCGAACCCAGGGCCCUGCGUUUGCUAGGCAAGCGCUCUACCACUGAGCUAAAUCCCCAACCCGUGUGUUUGUUUGAGACAAGGUCUCUGUGUGGUUCUGGCUGUCCUGGAACUUACUCUGUAGACCAGGCUAGCCUUGAAGUCAGAGAUACACACCUGCCUCUGCCUCUAGUGCUGGAAUUAAAGGUGUGUACCACCACGCCCAACCCAGUCUCUACUCUCAUCUUGUCAAAAGUCCCUGAGCUCUUGAGCUAAAAUGAGGACACUAUAGACUAUUUUUAAACAGUUAUCACAAACAUGAGCAAGGGUGAUGCCACUUGGAGGCUGAGCGGCAGGGUGCUGGGCUACUGCCCUUGCAGAGAUGCUGUCCCUGCAAAGCUGAGGUGACUGCAGGGAUGUGGCUCAGGCAGUCAUUCCUGAGAAAUCGUCAGCUUUGGGGGAAGGGAAUGCCUGUGGCCAGCUCCAGCCAAGCCGGCCAAGCCUCCCUCCCAGUUCCAGCACCAACAAGGCCCCAGGGCCUCGGGCUAAACUGAGCCACAACAGCAGCUGCACUCCUAGGUGACCUGGUCUGAGUCACCAGCAGAGCUUACAGUGUGCAGCCUUAAAUUUGCAGUUCCAAGUCUGCUCUUAGCUGAAAAUCUCCAUUAUCACUGCAGCUAUGCUCUGUUGUUUCCUCUGUUUAAGGAGAGACUUAGUGUUAAAUGGGCUCAGAGUCUGUGACUACUGCGUGCAGCUUCGGUCCUCCGGCCGGUAUUCCCAGGGCUGAUUGUCACGGGAAUGUGUCACGGGUGACAUGAAGCCAGGGGCCCUCACAUUGCAGCCUCUGGGUCACUACAGGUCUUUACAAAGUUGUAUUUGUGGGUUUUUUGUUUGUUUGUUUGUUUUUGUUGUUGGUGGUGUUUUUUUUGUUUUUGUUUUUGUUUUUGCUUUUUCGAGACAGGGUUUCUCUGUAGUUUUGGUGCCUGUCCUGGAUCUCGCUCUGUAGACCAGACUGUCCUUGAACUCACAGAGAUCUGCCUGGCUCUGCCUCCGAGUGCUGGGAUUAAAGGCGUGUGCCACCGCCGCCGCCCGGCAUGGGGUUUUUAAAAAUAUAUUUUUUAAAGAUUUUAUUUAUGCGUAUGAGCAUUUUGCUUGUGUGUAUGUCUGUGUACCGCAUGAGGCCUGAAAAGGGCACCAGGUUCUCUAAACACAUCAGGUCCUAGGAACCAAACCUGGGUCCUCUGCAAGAACAACACAUGCUCUUAACUGCUGAGCUAUCUUUUCAGCCUGUUUGUUUUUGAGACAGGGAUACAAUACAUGUAGCCCAGGCUGGCCUCACAUUCACUAUAUAGUCAAGAUGACCUUGAGCUCCUGAUCCUCUUUCUUUUGCCUCUCAAAUGCUGGGAUUACAGUUGUGUGCCAGCGCACCUGGUUCAUGUGGGGCUGGGGAUGGAGCUCAUUCUGCAUGUUAGGCAAGUACUCUCCCAGCUGAGUCACUUCCCCAGGCCCUGUAAUAAAGUUGUGUUAGAGCCUAACCAUGCUUGCUUUUUUCCUGCCACUACAGAGUUCAGAGACAGACCCACUCCUGGAGCAUUCAUUCCAGUAGGGUUGGUGGUAGGCUAGCUUGCCUCUGUAGGAAGCUCCUGGCUGCCUCGCUCCAAGGCAAAAGCACUGAGCUGACUGGAGGGGUGGCUGGCUUUGCCGCAGCAGCUGCCCUUGGUUGGCUUCUGUCCUGUGACCCAUCCUCCAGGGCUUCCAGCAGUGCACGUGCUGGGAGCCCCUGACUGAGUCUCGUGUGCACUGAGAACCAUGGCAUCUGCUCUGCCUGUUCGCCACAGUUGGCGGAAGCUCUUUGCCACUUCCCACCACUGGGAAGCUUGACAGUCUUGAAGCAGAGGUUAGUCCUCCAGUCUCCACUCUUGUUUGCUUUUACUUUUGAGACAGGAUCUCACUGGGUAGUCCAGGCUAUCCUCAAAACCCCAGGGCUUGGAUUAAAGGUGUGUGUCACUGUGCUCAGCCCAGUCUCCACUCUUGUCAAAUGCCCCUCAGACCUUAGGCUUGUCACUAAACCCAGUGUGACAAAACUUGGCAAGUGCCAGCUGCAGAUGGUCAGUUCUGCUCUCUGCGCUCCACCCCUCCAGGCUCUAACCUGCCAUCUCCUGUGUCUGCCACGCCUGGCGCUUUUGUAGAGAAGACUGUUACAUUUGUGUCCGCUUCGCUGGAUCUUGGAGCAUUGAUUUUGCCUUAAAUGACUCCAUCUGAUGUGGAAGUGGAAGUCAGUUUCCUGUACUUUACUGUUUUUUUUCUUGUGAGACAGGGUGUCUUAGUUACUUUGUUACUUAUUUCUGUUGCUGUGAUAAAAUACCGUGACAGAGGCAACUGGAAAAAAAAAAAAAGAUCCUGGAGCUCUUGGUCAGAGGAACAUCAGACUUCUAAUCUGAGGGUCCAGGGUUGAUGUCCUAAGGGGAAAAGUGAUAGUAGCCAGGCAUGGUGGCACCUGCCUUUAAUCCCAGAAGAGGCUGCUGGGUCUCUGUGAGUUCAAGGCCAGCCUGGUCUACAGAGUGAGUUCCAGGACAGCCAGAGCUACACAGAGAGAACCUGUCUCCAAAAAAAAUAAAUAACAAGGAGGAAAAAAGCUUUGGUGGCAGGUGUGGUGGUACACACCUUUAGUCCAUCUCUCUGAGUCUCCAUAGUGAGUUACAGGCACCAGGGCUACAUGGUGAGACUCUGUCAUCAUCAUCAUCAUCAUCAUCAUCAUUAUCAUCAUCAUCAUAAUUGGGCUUAUGGUUUUAGAAGGCUAGAGUCCAUGAUGAUAAAGUGAAGGCCUGGUAGCAGGAACAUCUGAGAGCUCACAUCAUUUGUUGUUUGUUUGUUUGGCAACAGGUUUCUCUGUAGCUUUGGAGCCUGUCUUGGAAAUACUCUGUAGACCAGGCUGGCCUUGAACUCACAGAGAUCCACCUGCCUCUGCCUCCCAAGUGCUGGGAUUAAAGGUGUGUGUCAACACCACCACCACCACCACCACCACCACCACCACCACCACCACCACCACCACCACCUGGUGAGAGCUCACAUCUUGUACCACAAGCAGAAGGUAGAAAGAGCACACUGGAAAUGGAAAAUUCAAAGCCCGCCCCCAGUGACACACCGCCUCCUACAAGACUGCACUCCUAAUCCUUCCCAAACAGUUCUACCAACUGGGAUCCAACUAUUCAAAGGCAUGGUCCCAUGGGGGCCAUUCUCAUUCACACUGCCACGUUCCACUCCCUGGCCCCCACAGGCUUCCGGCCCUAACAGAAUGCAUUUAGCCUAAUGUAGAAAGUCUCCGUACUCUCCCAGUUUCAACACUGUUUAAAGGUCCAGAGUCUCUUGUGAAAUUCAAGCCAAUCUUUUACUGGAACCCCUGUAAACUCAAAAGGCAGAUCACAUACUUCCAACACGUAAAGGCACAGACUAUACAAUCACAUACUUCCAACACAUAAAGGCACAGACUAUACAGUCACAUACUUCCAACACGUAAAGGCACAGGCUAUACAAUCACAUACUUCCAACACGUAAAGGCACAGACUAUACAAUCACAUACUUCCAACACGUAAAGGCACAGGCUAUACAAUCACAUACUUCCAACACGUAAAGGCACAGGCUAUACAAUCACAUACUUCCAACACAUAAAGGCACAGACUAUACAAUCACAUACUUCCAACACGUAAAGGCACAGACUAUACAUUCCAAAAGGGAGGAGGGGGCACAGUGAUGAAAUACUGAACUAAAGCGAGACUGAAACUCAGCAGGGUAAACUUCAAAUCCUGUAACACUCUGUCUGAUGUCAAAGGACUUGGAUGGCCCUGGCCUUCCAGCUUUUAAGCUGGCUCCCCUCCCCAUCUGCAGCUCUUGGCAGGCACCCCACUACUCUUACACCUCUAACAUGGGGGUCUCUAACGCCCAGACUUUAUUUUCAUUGCUUCUUGCAUGGCCUCGCAGGGCCUUCAUGUGUCAACUGCCCGGCCACAUAUUGUCUGGUCUCAGUGGCUCUCCUUAACCUUGGAGGAAGAUUCCAUAAUCCCUUUACACAUAUAUCCUUCAUGACGCCAGAACCACAUGGACGACACUGCCAAGUUGGCUGCCUGCUUGGGAUGAGCCCUGGCCCCCUUGAAUCACCUGUGUGGCAGCUUUUGUUUAUUCCUAAGGCCUUUUCCUUUCACAAGCUGGAGUUUAGCUGGGUGGGGUCUUGCCCUGGGUUUGGCUCUCCUUUACUUCUACAUCUCUGUCAGCACAAGCCUUGGCUCCAACAUUAAAUUUCCUGGUGCCCUUUUCCACUUUAGACUACGUCUCCAGUUAACUUUUGCCCCACUUGCUCUUUUUCAUAGUAGACCUGCAUACUAAUAAUCAUGUGAUAAUCAAUAUUAGGCUGUUUUGAAAUCUCCGCUAGAAAAAUUUGUCCAUCACUUUAAAUCUAGCCUCUGGCAAAUUCUUAGGACAAGGACAGAAAGCAGCCACAUUCUUUGCCAAAAUAUCACAAGAUUGGCUUCUGGCCCAGUUACUGUUAAAAGUCUUUGCUUCCAUCUAGGUGUGGUGGCACACACACACACACACACACACACACACACACACACACACACACACACUGGGGGCAGAGGCAGGUGGGUCUCUGUGAGUUUGAGGCCAGCCUGGUCUACAUGGAGAGUUCCAAGGCAGGCUGGGCCUCCAGAGCCCACACUGCUCUCAGAACUGUCUUCUGGGAUCUCACUGGUGUGGCCUAUUAUGACCUGCUUACAAGUUCAGCUGCUUUUCUAGUCCAAAUUCUUCCAUAUUCCUCCAAAAAUAUUGUCAAGUUUUUCACACAGAACACAUUCACAUCCUCACAUGGUGCACACACAUGCACGACCCUCACAGAUUAACUUUUUUUUUUAAAGUUAUUGGGGUCAGAGAGAUGGCUUUUAAGUAUUUGCUGUUCUUCCAGAGGACCUGAGUUCAGUUCCCAGCACCCACAUCAGGAUGCUCACAACCACCUGUAACUCCAGCUCUACAGGAUCCUAUCCCCUCUUCUGACUAUGGCAGUUCUCCACAAAUGCAUGUGGCAUACACUCAAAAAGAAAUCUUUUUUUGUUUGUUUGUUUUGUUUUUCAAGACAGGGUUUCUCUGUGUCAUUUUGGUGCCUGUUCUGGAUCUCACUCUAUAGACCAGGCUGGCCUCAAACUCACAGAGAUUCAUCUAGCUCUGCCUUCCAAGUGCUGGGAUUAAAGGCAUGUGCCACCGCUGCCUAGCAUAAAAAAAAAUAUUAAAAAAAACCCAUUAUGGGACUGGAGAGAUGGCUCAGAGGUUAAGAACACUGGCUGUUCUUCCAGAGGUCCUGAGUUCAAUUCCCAGCACCCACAUGGUGGUUCACAACCAUCUGUAAUGAGAUCUGGCUCCCUUUUCUGGCCUGCAGGGAUACAUGCAAACAGAACACUGAAUACAUAGCAAAUAAAUAAAUCUUUAAAAAAAAAAAACAUUAACAUGGACUGGGGUCUACUAAUUCACAGUUCCCAGUCCACCCCCCCCUCCGCCUCUUUCUGUCUCUCUGUCCCCCUCCCCACAUCCGUUGUGUUUGAAAUCUCAUAUUCCAUUUUAAUGAAUCUGUUGGUUUUCUGGCUGCAUCCCUCUGUAUUGAUUAUGAGUGUUGUUACUUUGCAGGCUAGAAACUGACCCCAAGAACUCUCAUAAGUGCUCUUCCAUGGAGACACACCACCAUCUUUUUCUUUUGAAACAAGGUCUCACUCUAUUGCUCAGUAUAGCCCAAACAGCUCUAGAACUUAAGAUCCUCCUGCCUCAGCAUCUGAAGCUGCUGGCGUGGCAGGUGCUCUGUUAUUUUAAUAGUCACACUAGACAUUGCAAUAGUCACAAUCACACCUUAGUAUUUGCAUUAUCCCGUCAUAAUUGACAUGCCAGAGCCAUGUGCACUGUGACUUCAUACCCUGAGAAUCUCACCAUAGUGUACCUGUUGCUCUACAGUCAUACAUAUUUUAUAUGUUGCUGUUUAAACAGAAAAGGAUUUCUCCACCAUAUCUAACACUCUUAUUUUCAUUUUGCUUUUCUGAGAUGGCCUGGCUGUGACUACAGGCUGUCCUUCAUCUUAGCUCUUUCUGUCUCAGUCUCCUUUUCUGUUCUUCCAUUUCCUGAAGAUUCAGAUCAGCUCUGGAAGCCUUCCCUGCAUGUCUGAGGUGGGGCUGCACAGUGGAUCUUGGCCUUUCCUCCUCCCAGCUCUGAGGUCUCUCCCUGGCCACCGUAUUCUGCAUUGGUAAUGCCUUCUCUUUGAGUGGCUGCAGGCUUCUGGCUGCCAUGUUUCUGAUGAACACUCUGUGGCCACCCGGCCUCUCUUGGGGCAGCUCUCCUGUGCAUGGCUACUGUAUGGCGUUCCCUUUGGGUCCUGUCCUGUUGACUGUGAUGGGUGGACUCACAGUUUUCCUUGAAUUUUUACACAUUUGAUUUGUAAACUGAUACCUUCCACUAAAUUUGAGUCUUUUUGUACAUAUUUCAUUUUCUGCUACAGUCUUUUUUAAAAUAUUUUUUAUAAUUUAUUUUUUCUUGUGUGCAUUGGUAUUUUGCUUGCAUGUAUAUCUGUGUGAGGCUGUCAGAUCCUAGAGUUACAGACAGUUGUGAGCUGCCAUGUGGGUGCUGGGAUUGAACCCAGGUCCUCUGGAAGAGCAGCCAGUGCUCUUAACCCCUAAGCCAUCUCUUCAGCCCCCAGUCUUUUUUCUUUAACAGUGUGUUUGUGCAGGUACAUGUGUGUGUCCAUGUUGGGGAGCCAGAGGAUAAUUUUUAGUGUUCUUCCUCAAAAAGGCUUUUGAGACAGGGUCUCUCAUUGGCCUGGUGCUCACCAAUUCAGCUCUCUGGGAUUAUAAAUGCACACCCCUAUGCCCAGCACUUUAAAAUGUGAGUUCUGGGGUUGGGGAUUUAGCUCAGUGGUAGAGCACUUGCCUAGCAAGCACAAGGCCUUGGGUUUGAUCCUCAGCUCAAAAAAAAAAAGUGAGUUCUGGGGACCAAACCCAGAUCAUUGCAUAUGGAAAGCGAGGACUUACAGACUGAGCUGUCCACAGGCCCAGGAAGCUUGCCCAACUGGACAGGGUGGUCGAGAUCACAGACUGUCCUCAGACAAAUGCCACUGAGUCUCCCCAGUCACCUCCCAUCCCAGAGCAUUUGCAGCUGUGGAACACUCGUCUUGUCCUCAUCUGUGGCUUCUGCUCUUGCGUUGAGAAGUCCCAUGUUUCCAGGACUGGAGUUUGUCAGCCUCCACCUUCCAUGAGGUGGCUGUGAUUGCCAUUAAUCCCAUCACCUGUGCCAUCUCAGGCCACAUCUGCACCUACUGUCUUGUUUUUUAAGAUUUGUUUUUAGGGGGCUGGAGAGAUGGCUCAGGGGUUAAGAGCACUGGCUCUCCUUCCAAAGGACCCGGGUUCAGUUCCCAGCACCCACAUGGCAGUUCACAACUCUGUAACUCCAGACACCUUCACACUAAUGCACAUAAAAUAAAGUUAAAUCAGGAAAAAACACAGACUUGUUUUUAUCUGUAGUUAUUUGUUGUGUGUUGAGGGGGGGCGGGGCAGGACUGCAGGGACCAGAAGCUAAGCCAUGAGGGCUCACACCUGUCAUCCCAGCAGAAGGCUAAGGUGGACAGAGGAUUGCCACACCUGUGAGGCUAGUUAGCCUCCAGACUGUGUCUCCACAAUAGACUGCAGGCUCUGAAGAGAUAACUCAGUGCUUAGGAGAACUGACUGUUCUACAGGAUUUAAGGUCAGUCCCAGCACUCACAGUGGGCAGCUCACAACUAACUGCCUGUGACUCCAGAUGCUAGAAUCUGAUGCCUUCCUCUGACUUCCUCAGGGUGUGUGUGUGUGUGUGUGUGUGUGUGUGUGUGUGUGUGUGUACAAAAGUAUACCCCUCCCCAAAUAACUACAGUCAAAUGCAAGCUAAAUGCUGUGAGUCUGGAAUUAGUGUGGAGAAAGUAGGGUAAGUAUAUAUUUACCCCUCCGCCCCCCCCCAAAAAAAAAUGUUUCCUAAGCAAGGCACAAGGGGAACACUGUGAUCAGUGCCGGAGAACAAAGUUGUUUUUUGUUUUGUUUAUUUUGUUUGUUUUGAGGCAGGGUCUCACCGUGUAGCCACAGAAUUCAUAGAAACCCAUCUGUCCCGCCAUCGGAAUGCACCACCAUAGCAGCCUGACCCCACAUGGUUCAUAAACUGAUCGCAGGAGAGGGAGGGUCCUCAGACUCGGGGACCUCAGCGGGCUGGAAAGGUCCCGAGGCUGUGAGGAGUGAGCAGCUGCCUGCAGCGGGAGUCCAUUCAGCAGGGCCUCUUUGCCUCAUGUUGGACUGGGUGGUGGGCUUUUCCGUGAUGUGGCUGCUGGAGAGCCUCCUGGCUGUUGGCUCUGCAUGUAACCCCAAUAAAGCCUCUGCUCCACCACAUGA